GUGGGCUUUGAACCUGCGACUUUGUGGUCUUCUGGUUCACUGGCAGAGUAAAGAAUUUUGACGCUAGAAAAACAGGUAACUCAGAUUGGCUUGAAACUGGGGCAAACAAUCCGAAUGUCCUGUGAGGGUCCAGUCCAAAGAAAAUCGUCUGUUUAGCUUCUCCAUGACACCCUGUACCCCUCACAGUUGGCUGGACAGCAGUUUGACCUGGCCAGGGGGACGGCAGCGCUGAGGUGUACGAACACCACCCCACAUCAGACAGCAGAACGGAUAGGAGAAGACAGCACAAGGAGGUGAAGAGGAGCGACUGGCUGAAUGGAAGGAUGCAGGGGAGAUGAUGGGAACAGACUCUGGAAAUCUCAGAUCUCCGCUACAGACAGCAGACUGCAUACAAAUGAAGAGGAAGGUAAGCCUCUCCAAAAAUUCUGGUUCUCUGUCUCCUUAUCUCCUUUCACCACCCACUUCCAUUUUAUUGUUCUAUGUCGAACAGAACAAAAGUCUCCUUCUGUCUACGUGAAGAGCCUAUGGAGAAGUACAGACAGAUAGAUGCCUUAUUUAUUGAGACGCUGAUAUACUUUGGCACGGCUUUUAACGGGGUGCAUGUGAACGUGUAAUUAUGAGAGUCAUGCCAUAAAGAUGUGUGUGUGUGUGUGUGUGUGUGUGUGUGAUAAUCAGCCCACAUGCAUGCUGCUAUUACGGACAGCAGAGUGAUGACCUACUCCACUUCUCAGCUUUGAGACUAGUCUCCUGGGAAUUCAUUCCGAUGUGCAUCUGAGCAACACACACACACAGCUGGCACAGCACCCAGGAGCCACUGACAACAGUGCCCUAGCAACUGCUGGGCAUUUCGCCAAGCCAGCUAGGUUGCCAGGCAGUAUGUUCCCAUGGUAACACCCUAUUUGAUUCUUUUGUAAAUAAGGUUGAGAGAAGAGACAGAAGGAGAGAGAAAGGGAAGAAUUUGGGGAGAAGAAGUCAAACGGUUUAUAGUGUGGGAAUGGAGGAGUGCACUAAAGGCCCGAUUGAAAGUAUUUGUCUGGUCGUCAUUUCACAGCUCUUCAAAAACACCCGGUCAGGAGACGGAGCUCAGAACAAUACAGGGAUUCAGCAUUUAGCCUAACUACUUGCAUAACUGCACACUGUCCAAAAUUGCAUUUCAUAGAUUAUUUAUAGAAUGAUAAUGCAUUUUUUAUUUUAUUUGUUUUAGUUUGUUACAUGAAAUGGGUUUUUAAAUAAAUGUAAAAGUAGACAAUUGUCUGAGAAAUAUGUUAUAGACAUAAUAUUAAUUUUGAAUUUUGAUAAUAUUAAUUUUGAAAAGAAACAGUAGGACUUUCUGUAGGUCUGAUGUCUCAAUAUGGGUUUGGCUCAUUGAAUUUAGAUAUAUAUAUUUUUUUUAUUCUGGA
ensembl:lncRNA